CUUUAUGGUGGGUUGAGCGAGGGCACCGUAAGGUGCGCCGGUUUAGGUAUGGCCGAUAAGACCAACUCCGUUCAGUCCACCACCCAG
rnacentral:antisense_RNA from 1 species